rnacentral:rRNA from 1 species
UACAGAGGGUGCGAGCGUUAAUCGGAAUUACUGGGCGUAAAGCGUGCGUAGACGGUUAUUUAAGUCGGAUGUGAAAGCCCCGGGCUCAACCUGGGAAUUGCAUUCGAGACUGAAUAGCUAGGGUGCGGUAGAGGGAAGCGGAAUUUCCGGUGUAGCGGUGUAAAUGCGUAGAUAUCGGAAAGGAACAUCAGUGGCGAAAGCGGCUUCCUGGACCAGCACCGACGUCAGGCACGAAAGCGUGGGGAGCAAACAGG